UAGGGAAUCUUCGNGCAAUGGGGGCAACCCUGACCGAGCAACGCCGCGUGAGUGAAGAAGGUUUUCGGAUCGUAAAGCUCUGUUGUAAGUCAAGAACGAGUGUGAGAGUGGAAAGUUCACACUGUGACGGUAGCUUACCAGAAAGGGACGGCUAACUACGUGCCAGCAGCCGCGGUAAUACGUAGGUCCCGAGCGUUGUCCGGAUUUAUUGGGCGUAAAGCGAGCGCAGGCGGUUUGAUAAGUCUGAAGUUAAAGGCUGUGGCUCAACCAUAGUUCGCUUUGGAAACUGUCAAACUUGAGUGCAGAAGGGGAGAGUGGAAUUCCAUGUGUAGCGGUGAAAUGCGUAGAUAUAUGGAGGAACACCGGUGGCGAAAGCGGCUCUCUGGUCUGUAACUGACGCUGAGGCUCGAAAGCGUGGGGAGCGAACAGGAUUAGAUACCCUGGUAGUCCACGCCGUAAACGAUGAGUGCUAGGUGUUGGAUCCUUUCCGGGAUUCAGUGCCGCAGCUAACGCAUUAAGCACUCCGCCUGGGGAGUACGACCGCAAGGUUG
rnacentral:rRNA from 1 species